rnacentral:tRNA from 1 species
GCCUGGGUGGCUCAGUUGGUUAAGAGUCUGACUUCGGCUCAGGUCAUGAUCUUGUAGUUCACAGGUUUGAUCCCUGUGUCAGGCU